GAUAAAGCCAUCCACGUCGUCAAAAAAAAUUCGAACCAUCCGAUCGUCAAUCACCGGUUGAUGUCUCUUCUCGCUCGCAAAGCUCUCCGCUCGAAGCUCCACGUUAGUGGACGGAACCGGCCUCCGCGACGCUUCCAGAACCACCGCCUCAUCCCCUUCCCCCUGAUACGACGCCCCUCUCCCUUUUGGGCGGCGACACCGUGGGGAGCUGUCGCGGCGCGCUCCGCUCCUCCCUGCACCUCAUCCCCUUCCCCCGCUCCCCCUCACACGUCGCUGUGUUGGAAGUCUAGAACCUUCCCCAAUCACCCACACAGCCACACCUGGGCACCUGGCCCCGCCCAACUUCCAUUUAUGCACAGGCGGACUGGAAAAAAAGGCCCAGAGGCAGUGCCGUGACCGAUUCAAGACGCAAGAGAAGGAUCGAGACGAGGCGGCGGUUUUCCGGGGGCAGCAUCGUCUCGGCCACAAAGGCCUUCGACGAAGUUAUUUCAGAGCUGGAUAGUCUUGGGGAAGAGUCGUACAAGGAUAGCACCCUCAUCAUGCAGCUUUUUCGUGACAACCUCACCUUGUGGACUUCUGACAUGCAGGAGGAUGGUGGCGAUGAAAUGCGGGACCAGUACAUGAUCAUUUACAUGUAUAGGAACAUUCAAUCUGUACGAUAAACACAGUUAGACUCAUAUACUCUACCUUUAAAGUAGAGAUGAAGUGACUCAUAGAGGCAGAGAUUUUAUUAUCCAAAAUCUAGAUUCUAGAGAUCUGGAUUCUAGAAUUCCCUAGGAAUCACCCUCCGCGGCGAGUGCCAGCGUGUCACGCUCGUGGAGUAAACUGUGCAAAAAAGGAUCUAGAUUACUGCAAAAUGGAAGGUAUGUAUCCUCAUUGGAAAAAAAUAUUUACUGAACAUUUAUAAUUUACAAUUCAGAUUUAAAAAUA